AUUGAACGCUGGCGGCAGGCCUAACACAUGCAAGUCGAACGGUAACAGGAAGCAGCUUGCUGCUUUGCUGACGAGUGGCGGACGGGUGAGUAAUGUCUGGGAAACUGCCUGAUGGAUGGGGAUAACUACUGGAAACGGUAGCUAAUACCGCAUAACGUCGCAAGACCAAAGAGGGGGACCUUAGGGCCUCUUGCCAUCGGAUGUGCCCAGAUGGGAUUAGCUAGUAGGUGGGGUAACGGCUCACCUAGGCGACGAUCCCUAGCUGGUCUGAGAGGAUGACCAGCAAAACUGGAACUGAGACACGGUCCAGACUCCUACGGGAGGCAGCAGUGGGGAAUAUUGCACAAUGGGCGCAAGCCUGAUGCAGCCAUGCCGCGUGUAUGAAGAAGGCCUUCGGGUUGUAAAGUACUUUCAGCGGGGAGGAAGGGAGUAAAGUUAAUACCUUUGCUCAUUGACGUUACCCGCAGAAGAAGCACCGGCUAACUCCGUG
rnacentral:rRNA from 1 species